rnacentral:rRNA from 1 species
AGCGAACGUUUGCGGCGGGCCUAACACAUGCAAGUCGAACGGGCAGGGGCAACCCUGUCAGUGGCGCACGGGUGCGUAACACGUGGGUAAUCAACCCUUUGGACUGGGACAACCCGGGGAAACUCGGGCUAAUACCGGAUGUGGCGUGGCGGUCCUCGGACUGCUCCGCGAAAGCUCCGCAAGGGGCACCAGAGGACGAGCCCGCGUCCCAUCAGCUAGUUGGUGAGGUAAUGGCUCACCAAGGCGAAGACGGGUAGCUGGUCUGAGAGGAUGAUCAGCCACACUGGAACUGAGACACGGUCCAGACUCCUACGGGAGGCAGCAGUGGGGAAUAUUGCGCAAUGGGCGAAAGCCUGACGCAGCCACGCCGCGUGUGCGAUGAAGGUCUUCGGAUCGUAAAGCACUGUGGGGGAGGAAGAAACAAGCCGGUGAAGAGCCGGCCCUGACGGUAUCCCCUUAGCAAGCACCGGCUAACUCCGUGCCAGCAGCCGCGGUAAAGUGUG